rnacentral:lncRNA from 1 species
AUGUCUGCCCCAUUUGAGGAGUACAGCGGGGUGGUUCCUUGCGGGGUUCCUUGGGGACAGUGAUACCAGACCCUGGAGGAGGUGUUCAUUGAAGUUGCUCGCGGGACAUCCAGUGAGGCCUGCAGAGUCUGCAAGUGGCUCUGGCCACUUGAAUGAAAAGGGUGGCCACGAGAUCCUCUAGGUAGCAAACCAGAGCUUGUCCCGAGUUCCUUCUUUUGACCUCUCCCACUCUGCGUUCUAAAAUUCACGGUGUCAGAGGGAUAACUGCUGGGUGUGGCAAGGGGAAAUUGAUCCUACAUUUGCUGAUGAAGGAACAUGGACUUUGGAGGAUGGAAAAAUGGUCUGAAUUGCCCAAAAAUCAAGAGAGAUGCCACAAACUGUUGGACUUCUCUUCUAGAAUCUAAAUAUGCAGCUGACCCCUGGGUGCAAGAUCAAAUGCAGAGAAAACUUACAUUAGAGAGAUUCCAGAAAGAAAAUCCUGGUUUUGACUUAGUGGAUCAGAAAUCUCUGGGAACUACACAAAGGGUGGACCAGAUUUCUCAAACCUUGAGAAAUGA